rnacentral:rRNA from 1 species
CCUACGGGGGGCAGCAGUGGGGAAUAUUGGACAAUGGGGGCAACCCUGAUCCAGCCAUGCCGCGUGUGUGAAGAAGGCCCUCGGGUUGUAAAGCACUUUCAGUGAGGAAGAACGCCUGGUGGUUAAUACCCAUCAGGAAAGACAUCACUCACAGAAGAAGCACCGGCUAACUCCGUGCCAGCAGCCGCGGUAAUACGGAGGGUGCGAGCGUUAAUCGGAAUUACUGGGCGUAAAGCGCGCGUAGGUGGCUUGAUAAGCCGGUUGUGAAAGCCCCGGGCUCAACCUGGGAACGGCAUCCGGAACUGUCAAGCUAGAGUGCAGGAGAGGAAGGUAGAAUUCCCGGUGUAGCGGUGAAAUGCGUAGAGAUCGGGAGGAAUACCAGUGGCGAAGGCGGCCUUCUGGACUGACACUGACACUGAGGUGCGAAAGCGUGGGUAGCAAACAGGAUUAGAUACCCGAGUUGUC